CGGAAAGCCUGAACCAGCAACGCCGCGUGAGGGAUGAAGCACCAAGGUGUGUAAACCUCUGUUAGAGGGGACGAGCGGUCCCGAUUUUCGGGAUGUGACGGUACCCUCAGAGGAAGCCCCGGCUAACUCCGUGCCAGCAGCCGCGGUAAUACGGGGGGGCAAGCGUUGUCCGGAAUUAUUGGGUGUAAAGGGCGCGUAGGCGGAUUUGUAAGUCAGUGGUGAAAUCUCGGGACUUAACUCCGAGUCUGCCGCUGAGACUGCAUUUCUUGAGUGUGGAAGAGGAAAUCGGAAUUCCCGGUGUAGCGGUGAAAUGCGUAGAUAUCGGGAAGAACACCAGUGGCGAAGGCGGAUUUCUGGUCCACAACUGACGCUGAGGCGCGAAAGCGUGGGUAGCAAACAGGAUUAGAUACCCUGGUAGUCCACGCUGUAAACGAUGGGCACUAGGUGUCGGCUGUCAUGGUCGGCGCCGCAGCUAACGCAUUAAGUGCCCCACCUGGGAAGUACGGCCGCAAGGUUG
rnacentral:rRNA from 1 species